ANAUUGUUCAUUGGANGAGAUUUUGAACCAGCCAAGUAGNGUGCAGGAUGACGCCCCUAUGGGUUUGUAANUGCUUUUAAUGCGGGGAUAAAGUUNNCUAACGUGUANCCGUUUGUAGGUACCGCAUGNAUAAGGACCGGCUAAUUCCGUGCCAGCAGCCGCGGUAAUACGGAAGGUCCGGGUGUUAUCCGGAUUUAUUGGGUUUAAAGGGAGCGCAGGCCGGAGGUACAAGCGUGACGUGAAAUGUAUCCGCUACAACGGCUGAGUUGCGUCGCGAACUGGCUUUCUUGAGUGAGUACGAUGUUGGCGGAAUUCGUGGUGUAGCGGUGAAAUGCUUAGAUAUCACGAAGAACUCCGACUGCGAAGGCAGCCGACAAGUCCUUUACUGACGCUAAAGNUCGAAAGUGCGGGUAUCGAACAGGAUUAGAUACCCUGGUAGUCCGCACGGUAAACGAUGGGUGCCCGCUGUUUGCGAUACACGGUAAGCGGCCAAGCGAAAGCGUUAAGCAUACCCACCUGGGGAUACGCCGGCAACUGGNAG
rnacentral:rRNA from 1 species